CGGCGUGCCUAACACAUGCAAGUCGAACGAAGCAUUUGAUUGGAUCGUCUUCGGAGUGAAGCUCUUAUGACUUAGUGGCGGACGGGUGAGUAACGCGUGAGUAACCUGCCUUUCAGAGGGGGAUAACAGUUGGAAACGACUGCUAAUACCGCAUAACGUNACGGGAUCGCAUGAUCCUGUUACCAAAGCUGAGGCGCUGAAAGAUGGACUCGCGUCUGAUUAGAUAGUUGGUGAGGUAACGGCUCACCAAGUCGACGAUCAGUAGCCGGACUGAGAGGUUGAACGGCCACAUUGGGACUGAGACACGGCCCAAACUCCUACGGGAGGCAGCAGUGGGGAAUAUUGCACAAUGGGGGAAACCCUGAACGAGCAAUGCCGCGUGAGUGAUGAAGGCCCUAUGGGUUGUAAAACUCUGUUGUAUGGGAAGAACGGCUAUAUUAGGAAAUGAAUAUAGAGUGACGGUACCAUACCAGAAAGCUCCGGCUAACUACGUG
rnacentral:rRNA from 1 species